rnacentral:rRNA from 1 species
UACGGGGGGGGCAAGCGUUGUUCGGAAUUACUGGGCGUAAAGGGCUUGUAGGUGGCCAACUAAGUCAGACGUGAAAUCCCUCAGCUUAACUGGGGAAUUGCGUCUGAUACUGGAUGGCUUGAGUUUGGGAGAGGGAUGCGGAAUUCCAGGUGUAGCGGUGAAAUGCGUAGAUAUCUGGAGGAACACCGGUGGCGAAGGCGGCAUCCUGGACCAACACUGACACUGAGGAGCGAAAGCCAGGGGAGCAAACGGG